UAGGGAAUCUUCGGAAAUGGACGAAAGUCUGACCGAGCAACGCCGCGUGAGUGAAGAAGGUUUUCGGAUCGUAAAACUCUGUUGUUAGAGAAGAACAAGGACGUUAGUAACUGAACGUCCCCUGACGGUAUCUAACCAGAAAGCCACGGCUAACUACGUGCCAGCAGCCGCGGUAAUACGUAGGUGGCAAGCGUUGUCCGGAUUUAUUGGGCGUAAAGCGAGCGCAGGCGGUUUCUUAAGUCUGAUGUGAAAGCCCCCGGCUCAACCGGGGAGGGUCAUUGGAAACUGGGAGACUUGAGUGCAGAAGAGGAGAGUGGAAUUCCAUGUGUAGCGGUGAAAUGCGUAGAUAUAUGGAGGAACACCAGUGGCGAAGGCGGCUCUCUGGUCUGUAACUGACGCUGAGGCUCGAAAGCGUGGGGAGCAAACAGG
rnacentral:rRNA from 1 species